ACUCAAAGGAAUAGACGGGGGCCCGCACAAGCGGUGGAGCAUGUGGUUUAAUUCGAUGCAACGCGAAAAACCUUACCUACCCUUGACAUCCCUGGAAUCUUGUAGAGAUACGAGAGUGCCUUCGGGAGCCAGGAGACAGGUGCUGCAUGGCUGUCGUCAGCUCGUGUCGUGAGAUGUUGGGUUAAGUCCCGUAACGAGCGCAACCCUUGUCCUUAGUUACUAACACGUUAAGGUGAGCACUCUAAGGAGACUGCCGGUGAUAAACCGGAGGAAGGUGGGGAUGACGUCAAGUCAUCAUGGUCUUUAUGGGUAGGGCUACACACGUGCUACAAUGGGCAGUACAGAGGGUCGCCAAACCGCGAGGUGGAGCUAAUCUCUUAAAACUGUUCGUAGUCCGGAUUGGAGUCUGCAACUCGACUCCAUGAAGCUGGAAUCGCUAGUAAUCGCGAAUCAGAAUGUCGCGGUGAAUACGUUCUCGGGCCUUGCACACACCGCCCGU
rnacentral:rRNA from 1 species